UACGAAGGGGGCUAGCGUUGCUCGGAAUCACUGGGCGUAAAGGGUGCGUAGGCGGGUUUUUAAGUCAGGGGUGAAAUCCUGGAGCUCAACUCCAGAACUGCCUUUGAUACUGAGGAUCUUGAGUUUGGGAGAGGUGAGUGGAACUGCGAGUGUAGAGGUGAAAUUCGUAGAUAUUCGCAAGAACACCAGUGGCGAAGGCGGCUCACUGGCCCGAUACUGACGCUGAGGCACGAAAGCGUGGGGAGCAAACAGG
rnacentral:rRNA from 1 species